CAGUUUUAAUUUAUUUGAGAUCAUACAACUAUACAAUUCAGGUCUGGCCAGCCAAUUCUGAAUAACAGGUACAUCGCAGAAGAACACACACCACAGUAAAGACAGCCAGGGAGUGAUUAAGACCUAAUUUUUAAACAGUUAAAUUCUUAAGACUAAGGGGCUAUUUCUUCAGCAACCCAGGUAGCAAUGUAUAGUAAAGCUAUGCAUAUUAGGAAAAUUCACUUUAUGUUGACACCCUUAGUAUGGGGAAAAAAUAAAAUGUAACCUAGGAGAAAAAUCUUAAAAAUCUUCAAAGCAAAUUCAGAAAACCUCCCCUUUGUCACCAGCUGUGCAAAGAUUGCAUUCAUGUAGCAUACGGUUUGCUAAGUUGAGGUGUUUACCAGGGCAACUUAGACUAUCGCGAUCGGCCCAACUGUAUUUAAAACCAACAACCAAACUACCGUUGGUGAUGUGCAUACCAGUGGCUUGUGAUUAGCAAAACCAAAAAGCGUGCAGUGUUAGCUGCUGUGAGCUGUUCCUAAAGUUAGAUGCGUAAGGUUUUACAUAUGCAAUCAAUUUCACCUGACAGACAUGCAUCAAAGCCAUCAUCAGUGGGUCCCAAACUACAGCCAGUGAUAAGUUUUGCCCUGUAUUUUACCCCUUGUACUGCUGUUUAUCAUGCUUUCUUCUUCAAAUCAAAACAUGUUAGAUUUAAACAUAUUCAGAAGAAAAUGAUGAGUAGCAGUACCUAAAAUCAUCUCUAAAAGGCAUUCUUUGGAAAACACUUACAUAAGAAAACGAGGAUUUCCAAACUAACUCUACAAGACAGAGACAUGCUGGUAGAGAAGUCAGAAUCCUUAGAGCGCCUGGGAAAGUGGUGGGUAAAUCACAUGUUCAGAUUACAGUUUGCUCUUGUUGGCUUUAUUUAAGAAGCAAGUUAAUGUUUACAUGACAUUGGACUUCAAAGUCCAGACAAUAAGGAGGAAAACAGAGAGAGAGAAAUGAUCCAUGUGGGUUUGCUCCGUGCUCCUCCCUGCCCAGCGGAGAGGCAGGGUGGUUGGGAGUGAUGAGAUGGCCUCUGGAGGGAACUGAAGUAAGGGGUGGAUUCUUCUCAGGGUGGAGUUAUUUUUCACCAAAUCAUAAAAAUGUAUCGCGCUAAGGUAUAAGUGCUGUUUCCUAACCCACCACGUUUAUUCUUGUUGGACUUUCAGUCUCUCUUUAAAGAAAAGUCCUCUUUUCCACAACCUCUGUAUGAAAUUCUGUGCCUAACUUCUCUCAAUGACAAUGCACUCUCUCCUGUUGCCUUUUCAUAAUGGUAGACCUGGUGCAUAGGAACAAAUGCUGUUUGCAGAUUUUAUUGAUACACUUUAUACAAUGAAAAGAGCCUCACUUCAGUGCUGUUUUGGGAUAUGUCCUUUCUGAUUCCUCCCUAUUGAGGCAGGUGGAGGGUCACUUUUCCUGGCUUGGUGAUUAGGCCUCCGUACACCUAGCAGCCUGCAGGUGGACAAGGCAGGGGGCUUUGCCAGGCGGGCCCUGAACAAUUCAUCCUUUUAGGCUUGUUUUGAAGGGGACCUCCCCACCUGCAGGAAAGGCACGUGGCCUGUGUUAUACAAUCUUGUGAUGCAGUGUGUUGAGGUGUGCAUACUGAGAUACACUUAGAAAUGUUAAAUCCCAGGAAAGUUCUUUUUAAAGUCAAAUGCCAUGGUUCGCAAGUCAGCGUGUUCUUAAGAGAGUCAGAAGACAGCAAACAGAGAUGGAUAUGUUUCCUUCCUGUUAAAAGGCAAGGGUAGGCUGCACAUGGUGACUCCCUUCCAAAGAGCACAGUAUGCAGAAGUGGGGAAGAGCGACUUCACUGAGAAGAAAGCUAACAACGUACCCCAGAUGGAGGACUACGUGAACACAGAUGACUCUUGCUGCCGGCCUGCCCCUUGACACCAUGCGUCAUGAGAUUCGUGUGAUGAGGCUGCACUUUGCUCUGUGGGCUCCCUCUCAAACCCGUAACCCCAGUCUAACCACAAGAAAAGCAUUGAACUCACAUUAAAGGAAAUCCUAUAAAUACUUGACCAUCACUCUCAAAAUGCUCUGGCUCAUCAAAAACAAGGACAGUGUGAGAAAAUUGUCAAAGGCCAGAGUAACCUCAGGAGAUGUGUCAGCUCAGUGUAACAUGACACACGAGAUACCUUCCUAGGACAGAAAAUGGAAACUGUUUUAAAAUGAAGGGAAUUGAAUAAAGCAUGCACUUUGGUUAAUAA